rnacentral:rRNA from 1 species
UACGGAGGGAGCUAGCGUUGUUCGGAAUUAUUGGGCGUAAAGGGCGCGUAGGCGGCUUGGCAAGUGGAUGGUGAAAUCCCUCGGCUUAACCGAGGAACUGCCGUCCAAACUGCUUCGCUUGAGACCGGGAGAGGUGAGUGGAAUUCCCAGUGUAGCGGUGAAAUGCGUAGAUAUCGGGAGGAACACCUGUGGCGAAAGCGGCGCACUGGACCACAUCUGACGCUGAGGCGCGAAAGCUAGGGGAGCAAACAGG